rnacentral:rRNA from 1 species
AUAUCAAUAAGCGGAGGACAAAAAACCAACAGGGAUUGCCCUAGUAACGGCGAGUGAAGCGGCAACAGCUCAAAUUUGAAAUCUGGCUCUCUCGGGAGCCCGAGUUGUAAUUUGUAGAGGAUGCUUCGGACAAGGUUAUGGUCCAAGUCCCUUGGAACAGGGCAUCAUGGAGGGUGAGAAUCCCGUCUUCGGUCGUGAGCCGCGUCCAUGUGAAGCUCCUUCGACGAGUCGCGUUGUUUGGGAAUGCAGCGCAAAAUGGGUGGUAAAUUUCAUCUAAAGCUAAAUAUUGGCCAGAGACCGAUAGCGCACAAGUAGAGUGAUCGAAAGAUGAAAAGCACUUUGAAAAGAGAGUUAAACAGUACGUGAAAUUGUUGAAAGGGAAGCGCUUGCGGCCAGACUUGUGGGCGGUUAUUCAGCCGUUGGAUCUCAACGGUGCACUUGAUCGUCUCCAGGCCAGCAUCGGUUUAGGCAGCCAGUGAAAGGCCCCGGGAAUGUAUCGCCCUCCGGGGUUGACUUAUAGCCCGUGGGCGCCAUGUGGCUCGCCUGGACCGAGGUACGCGCGUCUGCACGGAUGCUGGCGUAAUGGCUGUAAGCGACCCGUCUUGAAACACGGACCAAGGAGUCUAACAUCUAUGCGAGUGUUCGGGUGUCGAAAACCCUUGCGCGUAAUGAAAGUGAACGGAGGUAGGAGACCCUCGCGAGGGGGUUGCACUAUCGGCCGAUCCUGAUGUUCUCGGAUGGAUUUGAGCUAGAGCAUAGCUGUUGGGACCCGAAAGAUGGUGAACUAUGCGUGUAUAGGGUGAAGUCGGGGGAAACCCCGAUGGAGGCUCGCAGCGGUUCUGACGUGCAAAUCGAUCGUCAAAUAUGCGUAUAGGGGCGAAAGACUAAUCGAACCAUCUGAUGGCUGGUUCCAGCCGAAGUUUCCCUCAGGAUAGCAGUAACGUUUUCAGUUUCAUGAGGUAAAGCGAAUGAUUAGAGGCCUUGGGGUUGAAACAACCUUAACCUAUUCUCAAACUUUAAAUAUGUGAGAGACCUAUGUUGCUUAGUUGAACGUAGGUACCUGAAUGAUCGCGUUAUUAGUGGGCCAUUUUUGGUAAGCAGAACUGGCGAUGCGGGAUGAACCGAACGUGAGGUUACGGUGCCGGAAUACACGCUCAUCAGAUCCCAAAAAAGGUGUUGGUUCAUCUAGACAGCCGGACGGUGGCCAUGGAAGUCGGAAUCCGCUUAGGAGUGUGUAACAACUCACCGGCCGAAUGAACCAGCCCUGAAAAUGGAUGGCGCUCAAGCGUGUUACCUAUACCUCGCCGUCGUGGUUCUAAGGAUGCCACGACGAGUAGGCUGGCGUGGAGGUUUGUGACGAAGCCUUGGGGGUGACCCCGGGUUGAACAGCCUCUAGUG